AACGCUGGCGGCGUGCCUAAUACAUGCAAUUCGAACGAACUCUGGUAUUGAUUGGUGCUUGCAUCAUGAUUUACAUUUGAGUGAGUGGCGAACUGGUGAGUAACACGUGGGAAACCUGCCCAGAAGCGGGGGAUAACACCUGGAAACAGAUGCUAAUACCGCAUAACAACUUGGACCGCAUGGUCCGAGCUUGAAAGAUGGCUUCGGCUAUCACUUUUGGAUGGUCCCGCGGCGUAUUAGCUAGAUGGUGGGGUAACGGCUCACCAUGGCAAUGAUACGUAGCCGACCUGAGAGGGUAAUCGGCCACAUUGGGACUGAGACACGGCCCAAACUCCUACGGGAGGCAGCAGUAGGGAAUCUUCCACAAUGGACGAAAGUCUGAUGGAGCAACGCCGCGUGAGUGAAGAAGGGUUUCGGCUCGUAAAACUCUGUUGUUAAAGAAGAACAUAUCUGAGAGUAACUGUUCAGGUAUUGCCGGUAUUUAACCAGAAAGCCACGGCUAACUA
rnacentral:rRNA from 2 species